UAAUACGAAGGGACCUAGCGUAGUUCGGAAUUACUGGGCUUAAAGAGUUCGUAGGUGGUUGAAAUAGUUGGUGGUGAAAUCCCAGAGCUUAACUCUGGAACUGCCAUCAAAACUUUUCAGCUAGAGUAUGAUAGAGGAAAGCAGAAUUUCUAGUGUAGAGGUGAAAUUCGUAGAUAUUAGAAAGAAUACCAAUUGCGAAGGCAGCUUUCUGGAUCAUUACUGACGCUGAGGAACGAAAGCAUGGGUAGCGAAGAGGAUUAGAUACCCUCGUAGUCCAUGCCGUAAACGAUGUGUGUUAGACGUUGGAAAUUUAUUUUCAGUGUCGCAGCGAAAGCGAUAAACACACCGCCUGGGGAGUACGACCGCAAGGUUA
rnacentral:rRNA from 1 species